AUGAACGCUAGCUACAGGCUUAACACAUGCAAGUCGAGGGGCAGCAUGGUCUUAGCUUGCUGAGGCCGAUGGCGACCGGCGCACGGGUGAGUAACACGUAUCCAACCUGCCGUCUACUCUUGGACAGCCUUCUGAAAGGAAGAUUAAUACAAGAUGGCAUCAUGAGUCCGCAUGUUCACAUGAUUAAAGGUAUUCCGGUAGACGAUGGGGAUGCGUUCCAUUAGAUAGUAGGCGGGGUAACGGCCCACCUAGUCUUCGAUGGAUAGGGGUUCUGAGAGGAAGGUCCCCCACAUUGGAACUGAGACACGGUCCAAACUCCUACGGGAGGCAGCAGUGAGGAAUAUUGGUCAAUGGGCGAGAGCCUGAACCAGCCAAGUAGCGUGAAGGAUGACUGCCCUAUGGGUUGUAAACUUCUUUUAUAAAGGAAUAAAGUCGGGUAUGGAUACCCGUUUGCAUGUACUUUAUGAAUAAGGAUCGGCUAACUCCGUGCCAGCAGCCGCGGUAAUACGGAGGAUCCGAGCGUUAUCCGGAUUUAUUGGGUUUAAAGGGAGCGUAGAUGGAUGUUUAAGUCAGUUGUGAAAGUUUGCGGCUCAACCGUAAAAUUGCAGUUGAUACUGGAUAUCUUGAGUGCAGUUGAGGCAGGCGGAAUUCGUGGUGUAGCGGUGAAAUGCUUAGAUAUCACGAAGAACUCCGAUUGCGAAGGCAGCCUGCUAAGCUGCAACUGACAUUGAGGCUCGAAAGUGUGGGUAUCAAACAGGAUUAGAUACCCUGGUAGUCCACACGGUAAACGAUGAAUACUCGCUGUUUGCGAUAUACUGCAAGCGGCCAAGCGAAAGCGUUAAGUAUUCCACCUGGGGAGUACGCCGGCAACGGUGAAACUCAAAGGAAUUGACGGGGGCCCGCACAAGCGGAGGAACAUGUGGUUUAAUUCGAUGAUACGCGAGGAACCUUACCCGGGCUUAAAUUGCAGAUGAAUUACGGUGAAAGCCGUAAGCCGCAAGGCAUCUGUGAAGGUGCUGCAUGGUUGUCGUCAGCUCGUGCCGUGAGGUGUCGGCUUAAGUGCCAUAACGAGCGCAACCCUUGUUGUCAGUUACUAACAGGUUCCGCUGAGGACUCUGACAAGACUGCCAUCGUAAGAUGUGAGGAAGGUGGGGAUGACGUCAAAUCAGCACGGCCCUUACGUCCGGGGCUACACACGUGUUACAAUGGGGGGUACAGAGGGCCGCUACCACGCGAGUGGAUGCCAAUCCCCAAAACCUCUCUCAGUUCGGACUGGAGUCUGCAACCCGACUCCACGAAGCUGGAUUCGCUAGUAAUCGCGCAUCAGCCACGGCGCGGUGAAUACGUUCCCGGGCCUUGUACACACCGCCCGUCAAGCCAUGGGAGCCGGGGGUACCUGAAGUGCGUAACCGCGAGGAGCGCCCUAGGGUAAAACUGGUGACUGGGGCU
rnacentral:rRNA from 1 species